rnacentral:lncRNA from 1 species
AAAAAACCAAGUUUUUGUUUUUUUUGCGUUUGAUUUAUUCUAUUACAUUCUGAGCAAAUGCACAUGUAUUUUCAUAUUGAGUUUGUGCAACUAUUAAGGCAAGGAACACAUGCAUACUAUGACUGAUCAGAGACCUAUUAUUAGAUCUCCACACGUGUAUUUAAUGAUAAUAGGAAGGCCUCAGGAGUUCACAUUUGUUAACUGCAUUUUUGUUAGCCUUAUCCGUAAAAGAAGUACGAGUAUCCUUGUUCGUACCAUAAGAUUCAUAAUUUGGUUUUCACAUAAAGAUAGAGGUUGAAUAUCCCGACUAGAUUACUUAGGUGCCUUAUGAUUAGACCUUGGUUGACCUAUAGUCAUGAUGCAGUCACAUAUAUAAUAAAAAUAUCUAUAUGUUUCAGUCUACCUUCUCUUUUCUUGCAUGAUUAAAAAAAUCCUUAUGAUGAC